GCUCCAGCAAACCCAAUUGGGCAACUUAAGGGCCUUGUUCACACAGUAGGCAGUCCUGGCAAAUGCAUACUGUAUGUGUGGUUUGUAAAAGCAGUUGCAAAUGCACACAAUUCUGCAAAUUGUGAAUAUGCGCCUAAGUGUACUGUUCAGAUGUCAGUAGAUUCAGCUAGCCUAGACUGAGCCCAUUCAAGACAAGUAGAUUUUAAAGUCAUCCAUCAACAUCGACAAGUACAGUGGGAUGAAAUAUUGUACUUCAAGGAUCGAGGUGUAACAAAAGACGAAAAUGUGUGCGAUACAUAGGAACACAUAAAAUAAAAAGAAAAUGUGUUAACAUGAAGUUUGAAACAUCACUAUUUAAUUAAAACAUUUUUCCAUAGUUGGUAAAUCUGUUCUAGUGAAAUUCAAUAAAAUAAAAAAAAUAAAAACCCACACACAAAAAACAGUUCAAACAAGCUUGCUAAACAUACUUCCUGUUGCACCAGUAAAAGUUAUUUCACCCACCUACUAUUCAAAUUUCAUUUUCUAUGUGGUCUAUGAACAUACUGAAAAUAAAUCCUGAUUGUUAUGAUAGUGGCAACAUUUUGUCCUACAAGUCAACAUUAAAACCAUUAUGUCUUACGAGUCAUAUUUUGUCUGAAGUAAUAUUCAUGAAAUCAGCACAUCACUUUACAUACGUCGUUGUGCAAAAGUCUUAGGCACCCGAUUAUUUAUUUACUGUUUUUACUUAAUUUCAGAUGUUUGUAUGUGAAUAAAGGAAGUAUGAUAUUAUAUAAUAGACCCCUUUCCAGGCAAGAAACAUAUUGUAGGGGAUCAGGAUUUACCUACAGAAAGAGGUGUCAAAGUCUCCAAAAAAAAAAAAAUUAAAUAAAAAAAAAAUAAAACCCCACACACAGAACAAAAAAAUAACCCUGUGGCAGAUUCUCCAAGAAGCUUACAAACAUGUACCAGCUCUUUUCCUUAUAAAACUGCACAAAGUGUACCUGAGACUACUGCGUUAUCACACCAAAUACCAACUUCCUUUAUUUCAUGAUUUUUGAUGGCAUCUUUGCUUUACAGCAGUUCUUUACACAUGCUUAAGACUGUUGC
ensembl:lncRNA